rnacentral:rRNA from 1 species
CAGUCGCCGCGGUAAUACGAAGGGUGCAAGCGUUAAUCGGAAUUACUGGGCGUAAAGCGCGCGUAGGUGGUUUGGUAAGAUGGAUGUGAAAUCCCCGGGCUCAACCUGGGAACUGCAUCCAUAACUGCCUGACUAGAGUACGGUAGAGGGUGGUGGAAUUUCCUGUGUAGCGGUGAAAUGCGUAGAUAUAGGAAGGAACACCAGUGGCGAAGGCGACCACCUGGACUGAUACUGACACUGAGUUGCGAAAGCGUGGGGAGCAAACAGGAUUAGAUACCCGCGUAGUCCCUGUCUCUUAUAC